rnacentral:rRNA from 1 species
AACGAACGCUGGCGGCAGGCUUAACACAUGCAAGUCGAGCGAGACCUUCGGGUCUAGCGGCGGACGGGUGAGUAACGCGUGGGAACGUGCCCUUCUCUACGGAAUAGCCCCGGGAAACUGGGAGUAAUACCGUAUACGCCCUUUGGGGGAAAGAUUUAUCGGAGAAGGAUCGGCCCGCGUUGGAUUAGGUAGUUGGUGGGGUAAUGGCCCACCAAGCCGACGAUCCAUAGCUGGUUUGAGAGGAUGAUCAGCCACACUGGGACUGAGACACGGCCCAGACUCCUACGGGAAGCAGCAGUGGGGAAUCUUAGACAAUGGGGGCAACCCUGAUCGAGCCAUGCCGCGUGAGUGAUGAAGGCCUUAGGGUUGUAAAGCUCUUUCAGCUGGGAAGAUAAUGACGGUACCAGCAGAAGAAGCCCCGGCUAACUCCGUG